rnacentral:lncRNA from 1 species
UAUUCCCUCACCCCCCUCGCCUUGGUUCUCCUGGACCACAAGUGGGACGUUUUCUGUGCCCUCUUCAUCGGCCUCAUCGGCGACGGCUGCGACCACAACCUGACACACAAUCCUGACAAAAAGCAGAGCCGUGACCAGCACAAGCACGCCACGUCACGCGUGACGUUGGACGUGUUCGUAACAUGUCUGAUGGAGGCUCGUCCCAUCGUCACGUGCGGCCCAGAGUGUAACGUCAACUCCCUCAGGCUCAGGGACUUUCUCGAGGCCUACUUCAUGGAACACGUCGAUGUCAUCGUCAAGGCUGCAGCACAAGGCCCCCAGGACGACACGCGCCCCUACAGCCGCGCCGUGAGCGUCCUAGUGAGCCUCUACCUCGCCAGCCUCCUGGG